GUUUUAUUCAACAAGCUGUUAUCUUGAUGUGGUUCAUAUGGAUGGCAUUAAGUGCUUUCAUUUUUAAGUUUCAAGUCCCUGACUCUUGAAACAGUGGCAAAAGCAGGCAGGGCUUCCUCUGAAUUGAAGGAGAAUGGCAGCCUCUCCCGAGCAACUUAUAAGACACAUGAUCCUUCCUCUUCUUUUACUGAUGCAUGCCACCUAAGACAGGGUCUAGAAAGCUUGAUUGUGAUGAAGCCUCUCUUCAAGAGUAGAACCAAGCUGGACUGGCAGAGGUGUACAGAAACCGGAGGGGAAGAUUACUCGAUGGUGGAAAUAUUCUGAUUCAAUGCGUAUGUCCUCUUGUGAGUGACACCCCGUUUAUGCUUUUAGCUUCCUGUCUUGCAGAUGCGUUUAAGGACAUCUGAGAUCGAAGCCAGAAAAUUCCAUGGGAAAUAUGCACGGAUUUCAGAAUAAGGGGGCAGGAGGCAAUUGCAGCUUAAACUGUCUGCAAAUGCAAUUGCAGAUUGGCUGGAUACAAGAAUAAGGGGGCAGGAGGCCUAGUAGCUUAAAAU
rnacentral:misc_RNA from 1 species